UCAAGUACAUGAUCAAGUCACAAUACAUUCAUACAUUACCAUACAUAUCUAUAAUUAUAAGAUUCUCAUAUAGCUAGUAGUAUGAGACCUAGAGCAGCUAAUACAAAAUAGUAUAAUUAUGAUCAGAGAGACUAGGCAUCAGGCUCGUAUCGAAAGGAACAAAAUAAGGAAAUGACUUCGAAGUAAAAUCACGACCAUAUCAGCCUCAACCUCGAUUGGAUGAUCUGGUCCAAGUAGAAGAGGUCGGGGGAUGGAAGGCGAUAGGCUGAACAAGGAUAGGCUCAGUAGAUACAGAGGGUCUGGACUAGAGCUGAGUCCUAAUGGCAUCUAGCUGAGAUAAGACACUUCUCACUAAAACUCUGAGCCCAUUAAGAUCAGAUGAAACAAAAUUUCUUGAGUUUCUAAUAUCAAUCCGGAUCAACUCAAAUGUCGAUCCGAGCAGGCCAUGAAGUCUCUCUACCUCCUGAGCA
rnacentral:lncRNA from 1 species